ACACACACACAUUGUCACAUAGUUUCAGCAUAAAUUCAGCAUGCUAUCAUUAAUGUGGAAGUCGAAGAAAUGGGAUUAUUCGAGGAAAUUUGUUUUUGAAUUUUUUUCCAAUAGAAAUUGCAGUUCGAGUGAAGAAAAUAUGAAAUCAGAAGAUGGAAUAUUUUGCCACCAUUAUCAGUAUUCUUACAAUUUUCUCAAUUCUUGCCACCUCUGCCACAAGCCUUUGAGUGGCAAAGAAAUUUACAUGUGCAGGGGUGAAAUGGGGUUUUGUAGUGUGGAGUGUAGGAGCACACAAAUGUAUAUGGAAGAUAUGAAGAAAAUCGAGGUUUCCACAAGAAGAAUCUUGGCAUCUUUUCACGAGCGCCGCCGCCGGUGCGAGGCUAGAGGUGUUGGAAGCGUGGCGGUGUCGGUGCCGCCGAUUUUCGUGUUGAUGUAGAAAAGUUCUUAGUGUUGAGUGUUAGGUUUGGUGAUGAAUUUAGCUCAUGCGUGUUAGGUUUAUUGAAUGAAAAGUCCAAUUAAGACUAGUGGUAACAUAUGCAAUUUGGUUCUUUAA